rfam:Fistulina hepatica ATCC 64428 unplaced genomic scaffold FISHEscaffold_467, whole genome shotgun sequence.
GCAUUAAUGGGGUAGUGGUAACCUGGGUCGUUGCCAUUCGACUUUGUGUCGACCCGCCGGGGGUUCGAUUCCCCCUUAAUGCA